AGAGGCCACAGGAAUCUCAGGCCUGUCCACUUGUCUGAUGUGGGGCCUUCAAAUUGUUCCCUGGGUUGGCCAAAAAACCAGGAGAUUUUGCCGACUUCUUUGGGGAUUCCAACUGUGUGGAAGUCAGAAGCGCCCUCCUGAGAGAAAGCGGGAAGGAAGGAAAGACUAAGCGAAGUCCUUGCCCACAGGGUUGGCUGUUCCCUCCAGAUGGUCUGUAGCCUGCUGCCAGCAGUCAGAUGCCUCUGGUCUGAAAGAUCUGUUCCAUUUCUCCUUGCUGCUGGACAGAGCCAGAAGCCCUCAUGAAAAUGUUGCUUCCUUUUCCUGUGGCUCAGGAAUUUAGGGGUGCCUUAACUGUAUGUACGUGGUCCAGGAUCUCCGUGAUGCCAAGAUGUUGGCCGGGCUACAGUGACAUGGGAGGCAUGACUGACAUUAAAGGACCUGCUUCCACGAUGGCUCACUGUUGAGGCUGGUGUUCUUUGUACCACUGAGCCCUGGAUUUAAGCCAGCUUACUCCCUGGACUGCACUGGAUCUGAGCAGACCAUCUCAACCCCUCUGCUUGCAGCAGCCAUCCGGUAUCCUCAGAGGAG